UAAUAGCGUAUAUUAAAGUUGUUGCAGUUAAAAAGCUCGUAGUCGGAUGUCGGGCUCGGAGAGGCUGUCGGCCUUUGGUCGGACGGCAACUCCGGGCCUUUCUGCCUGGGGAUCCUACUCUGCUUAACCGCAGGGUAGUGGGACGCAGGCCGUUUACUUUGAAAAAAUUAGAGUGUUCAAAGCAGGCCUACGCUUGAAUACAUUAGCAUGGAAUAAUGGAAUAGGACUUUGGUCUUAUUUGUUGGUUUAUGGGACCGAAGUAAUGAUUAACAGGGACAGUUGGGGCCGUUUAUAUUUCGUUGUCAGAGGUGAAAUUCUUGGAUUUACGAAAGAUAAACUUCUGCGAAAGCAUUCGGCAAGGAUGUUUUCAUUG
rnacentral:rRNA from 1 species